rnacentral:pre_miRNA from 1 species
UAUAAGGGAUUUUGAGUUUUUUCUUGCAACGUUUGACCACUCGUCUUAUUCAAAAUUUUUUAAAAUUAUUAUUUAUUUUAUUUGUGACUUACUUUAUUAUCUACAGUAUUUUAAGCACAACUUUUUAUUUUUUAUAUUUGCAAAAAAAAUUGAAUAAGACGAGUGGUCAAACAUUGCAAGCAAAAACUUAAA